GCCCCUAUGGGACAGUGGUAGUCCGCAUCACUUGUACGAAGUUCGCUCCGUGUAUGAUAUGAUGAAGCCCGUGGUUCGAUCCCGCGUGGGGGCU